rnacentral:rRNA from 1 species
GAUGAACGCUAGCGGCAGGCCUAAUACAUGCAAGCCGAACGGCAAGUUUGAUAGCACUUUUGGACUUAGAGUGGCGCAAGGGUGCGUAACACGUAUGCAACCUGCGCCCGACAGGAGGAUAGCCCCCCGAAAGGGGAAUUAACCCACCAUAACACCAGGAGAAGGACUCUGAUUAUGGUUAAACCGUAAAGUGUCGCGGAUGGGCACGCGGUUGAUUAGGUAGUUGGCAGGGUAAAGGCCCACCAAGGCGCAGAUCAAUAGGGGUUGGGAGAGGAAGGACACCGACACUGGAACUGAGACACGGGCCAGACGGCUGCAGGAGGAAGGAAUAAGGAGUAUUGGACGAUGGUUUGAAGACUGACCCAGCCAUGCCGCGUGCAGGAAGAAGGAAUUCUGGGGCGUAAACUGCUUGUAGAUGUUGAUAAAAUACACGUGCGCGGGGAAUUGACGGUAACAGGAGAAUAAGCCACGGCUAACUACGUG